UACGAGGGGUGCAAGCGUUGCUCGGAAUUAUUGGGCGUAAAGGGUAGGUAGGUGGUCUUAUUUGUCUGGGGUGAAAGCCUUGAGCUUAACUCAAGAAGUGCCCCAGAAACGGUGAGACUAGAGUCUGAGAGAGGGUCGUGGAAUUCCCAGUGUAGCGGUGAAAUGCGUAGAUAUUGGGAGGAACACCAGAGGCGAAGGCGGCGACCUGGAUCAGCACUGACACUCAACUACGAAAGCGUGGGUAGCAAACAGG
rnacentral:rRNA from 1 species